GGACUUGUGGUGUAGUUGGUUAUUAGGUCAGUCUAACACAGCGAAAGUCCCCAGUUCAAAGCUAGGUUCGAUCG